rnacentral:rRNA from 1 species
UCCAGCCGGGCCUGCGCUUAAGUGCGCGGUCUUGCUAGGCUUGUAAGAACGUAGAGUUAAGGUGCCGGAAUACACGCUCAUCAGACACCACAAAAGGUGUUAGUUCAUCUAGACAGCCGGACGGUGGCCAUGGAAGUCGGAAUCCGCUAAGGAGUGUGUAACAACUCACCGGCCGAAUGAACUAGCCCUGAAAAUGGAUGGCGCUCAAGCGUGUUACCUAUACUCUACCGUCAGGGUUGAUAUGAUGCCCUGACGAGUAGGCAGGCGUGGAGGUCAGUGACGAAGCCUAGACCGUAAGGUCGGGUCGAACGGCCUCUAGUG